GGCAGUGUGGCAUAGUGGUUAAGGUGCUGGGCUUCCAACCCCGAGUUUGUGGGUUCAAAUCCCACUACUGACA